GGCUACGGCUCAACCGUAGUAAGCGCUUGAAACUGGGAGACUUGAGUGCAGGAGAGGAGAGUGGAAUUCCUAGUGUAGCGGUGAAAUGCGUAGAUAUUAGGAGGAACACCAGUUGCGAAGGCGGCUCGCUGGACUGUAACUGACGCUGAGGCACGAAAGCGUGGGGAGCAAACAGGAUUAGAUACCCUGGUAGUCCACGCUGUAAACGAUGAGUACUAGGUGUCGGGGG
rnacentral:rRNA from 1 species